UACGGAGGAUGCAAGCGUUAUCCGGAAUGAUUGGGCGUAAAGCGUCCGCAGGUGGCUAUGUAAGUCUGCUGUUAAAGAGUGAGGCUCAACCUCAUAAGAGCAGUGGAAACUACAUGGCUAGAGUGCGUUCGGGGCAGAGGGAAUUCCUGGUGUAGCGGUGAAAUGCGUAGAGAUCAGGAAGAACACCGGUGGCGAAAGCGCUCUGCUAGGCCGCAACUGGCACUCAUGGACGAAAGCUAGGGGAGCGAAUGGG
rnacentral:rRNA from 1 species